GUCUGCGCGACGUCGUGCGAGCGGCGGCCGCGGGGCCUCGGGAUCAAAAGCAAGCACUAUGGAAGACCCUGAUGACUUGACUUGGUCCUCUGAAGUGACCUCAGAGUGCAGUGAAUUGUCCUGCCCUAAUGAUGAGGAUGUUCUGUUGCUGAUUGAACAACUGCGGAUGGAGUGCAAAGAUCAUGAGAUUAUGGUGUGUGGGAGAAUGUCUGAAUCCAGGGCAGCUCAGUAGCGGAGAAGGGCUCAGAGAGUAGUGUUGCUACCUGUGCCAGGUGUACAGGAUAUAGGUUGACAAGGACACAGCAGCACAGCCACACAGCCGGAUACUGUGAUGAGGAGGCGACGUGCAAGGUGGCUUUGCCCAGAUGGGACAGAUCUGCUCAUGCUUCAUGGGACUCCACGCGGCCAUGAGCCUGCUGCAUAAGCAAAGACAAAACUCGACUCCACUGCAUGUGAAAUGAAUCUUAUGAAGAUCUGAGAUGACUUCAAUGUCAUCAAGUUGUUCUGGGUUCUGGAACAGAGAAUUAUGUCUACUUCGUAGUGGAACUAGCAAGUGGAGGGGAAGUACUGCAUCACAUCCUAGUGGCGGGCUGAAGGGAGGGGGAAGCCUGGAGGUGGUUCAAGAAAAUUGUUUGCACUCUGCUCCACUGUCAAAGCAAUGGCAUUGUGUCCAGAGAUCUUAAGCUGCAGAACAUACUAGUGGAUAGCUGAGGCAACAUGAAGAUCGCUGAAUUUCGAGUGAAGGUCUCAGGAGGACAGAAGCUAUACACAAUUUGUGGAACUGUCCUCUACUGUGCCUCACAAAUGUCCAGGCAACAAAAAAUAGGAUGGGUCGAAAGAGACUAUCUGGAGCCUAGGCGUCAUGCUGUUCUUGGUGGUCACAGGGCUCCUCCUAUGUGAAGUGGACAUGGCACACUAUGUGGCUGUGACCAUUCUCAGAGUCUGUGUGGGAUGACUGAGUGUUAAGAUGGCUCUGUAACUGUGGUCCCUGGAACUUCCUAAAGCUUAAAGUGGGGAGGAAAGCAGAGAGUGGAAGGAGAGCCAGGCACAAGUCAUCCACUUCCUGGUUUCAGUGUUUGGGUGGUAUUGUUCCCACCACUGGGAUUUGGGGGGAUACCGUUCAAUGAAGGAACUCAAGAUGGAGAUGAAUUUGCAAUAUCCCAGUCAAUGCGCAACUGGGCCCAUCCCUUCCAGAUGCCAACUCAAAACACCCAGAGCAGACAGAAGUCACUGCACUCUUACAUGCCAAAUAAAUUCUUUUUAUUAAGUGA